rnacentral:rRNA from 1 species
CCUACGGGCGGCAGCAGUGAGGAAUAUUGGUCAAUGGGCGGGAGCCUGAACCAGCCAAGUCGCGUGAGGGAUGACGGCCCUAUGGGUUGUAAACCUCUUUUGCCGGGGAGCAAAGUGCCGCACGUGUGCGGUUUGGAGAGUACCCGGAGAAAAAGCAUCGGCUAACUCCGUGCCAGCAGCCGCGGUAAUACGGAGGAUGCGAGCGUUACUCGGAAUCACUGGGCGUAAAGAGUGCACAGGCGGGCUUGUAAGUCAGAUGUGAAAUCCUGUAGCUUAACUACAGAACUGCAUUUGAAACUAUGAGUCUAGAGUGUGGGAGAGGUAGGUGGAAUUCUUGGUGUAGGGGUAAAAUCCGUAGAUAUCAAGAGGAAUACUCAUUGCGAAGGCGACCUACUGGAACAUUACUGACGCUCAUGCACGAAAGCGUGGGGAGCAAACAGGAUUAGAUACCCCAGUAGUC